rnacentral:rRNA from 1 species
GCAAGUCGAACGGUGAAGCCCAGCUUGCUGGGUGGAUCAGUGGCGAACGGGUGAGUAACACGUGAGCAACCUGCCCCUGACUCUGGGAUAAGCGCUGGAAACGGCGUCUAAUACUGGAUAUGUGACGUGACCGCAUGGUCUGCGUCUGGAAAGAAUUUCGGUUGGGGAUGGGCUCGCGGCCUAUCAGCUUGUUGGUGAGGUAAUGGCUCACCAAGGCGUCGACGGGUAGCCGGCCUGAGAGGGUGACCGGCCACACUGGGACUGAGACACGGCCCAGACUCCUACGGGAGGCAGCAGUGGGGAAUAUUGCACAAUGGGCGCAAGCCUGAUGCAGCAACGCCGCGUGAGGGAUGACGGCCUUCGGGUUGUAAACCUCUUUUAGCAGGGAAGAAGCGAAAGUGACGGUACCUGCAGAAAAAGCGCCGGCUAACUACGUGCCAGCAGCCGCGGUAAUACGUAGGGCGCAAGCGUUAUCCGGAAUUAUUGGGCGUAAAGAGCUCGUAGGCGGUUUGUCGCGUCUGCUGUGAAAUCCGGAGGCUCAACCUCCGGCCUGCAGUGGGUACGGGCAGACUAGAGUGCGGUAGGGGAGAUUGGAAUUCCUGGUGUAGCGGUGGAAUGCGCAGAUAUCAGGAGGAACACCGAUGGCGAAGGCAGAUCUCUGGGCCGUAACUGACGCUGAGGAGCGAAAGGGUGGGGAGCAAACAGGCUUAGAUACCCUGGUAGUCCACCCCGUAAACGUUGGGAACUAGUUGUGGGGUCCAUUCCACGGAUUCCGUGACGCAGCUAACGCAUUAAGUUCCCCGCCUGGGGAGUACGGCCGCAAGGUAA